AUACGUAGGGUGCGAGCGUUGUCCGGAAUUACUGGGCGUAAAGAGCUCGUAGGUGGUUUGUCGCGUCGUCUGUGAAAUUCCGGGGCUUAACUCCGGGCGUGCAGGCGAUACGGGCAUAACUUGAGUACUGUAGGGGAGACUGGAAUUCCUGGUGUAGCGGUGAAAUGCGCAGAUAUCAGGAGGAACACCGGUGGCGAAGGCGGGUCUCUGGGCAGUAACUGACGCUGAGGAGCGAAAGCAUGGGUAGCGAACAGGAUUGGAUACCCUGGUAGUCCAUGCCGUAAACGGUGGGCGCUAGGUGUAGGGGUCUUCCACGACUUCUGUGCCGUAGCUAACGCAUUAAGCGCCCCGCCUGGGGAGUACGGCCGCAAGGCUAAAACUCAAAGGAAUUGACGGGG
rnacentral:rRNA from 1 species